UCGGGAAUAUUGCGCAAUGGAGGAAACUCUGACGCAGUGACGCCGCGUGCAGGAAGAAGGUUUUCGGAUUGUAAACUGCUUUAGACAGGGAAGAUAACGACAGUACCUGUAGAAUAAGCUCCGGCUAACUACGUGCCAGCAGCCGCGGUAAUACGUAGGGAGCAAGCGUUAUCCGGAUUUAUUGGGUGUAAAGGGUGCGUAGACGGGAAGGCAAGUUAGUUGUGAAAUCCCUCGGCUUAACUGAGGAACUGCAACUAAAACUAUCUUUCUUGAGUGUUGGAGAGGAAAGUGGAAUUCCUAGUGUAGCGGUGAAAUGCGUAGAUAUUAGGAGGAACACCAGUGGCGAAGGCGACUUUCUGGACAAUAACUGACACUGAGGAGCGAAAGCGUGGGUAGCAAACAGGAUUAGAUACCC
rnacentral:rRNA from 1 species